AAACAACUCUCAGCAACGGAUAUCUUGGCUCUCGCAACGAUGAAAAACGCAGCGAAAUGCGAUACGUAGUGUGAAUUGCAGAAUUCCGCGAAUCAUCGAGUUUUUGAACGCAAGUUGCGCCCGAGGCUUGUCCCGAGGGCAUGUCUACCUGAGCGUCACC
rnacentral:rRNA from 1 species